rnacentral:tRNA from 1 species
GGGGUUAUAGCUCAGUGGUAAAGCACUUGCCUGGCAUGCACAAGGUUCUGGAUUCAAUUCCCAGUACAACCA